GACGAACGCUGGCGGCGUGCUUAACACAUGCAAGUCGAACGGAAAGGCCCUGCUUUUGUGGGGUGCUCGAGUGGCGAACGGGUGAGUAACACGUGAGUAACCUGCCCUUGACUUUGGGAUAACUUCAGGAAACUGGGGCUAAUACCGGAUAGCAGCUCCUGCUGCAUGGUGGGGGUUGGAAAGUUUCGGCGGUUGGGGAUGGACUCGCGGCUUAUCAGCUUGUUGGUGGGGUAGUGGCUUACCAAGGCUUUGACGGGUAGCCGGCCUGAGAGGGUGACCGGCGACAUUGGGACUGAGAUACGGCCCAGACUCCUACGGGAGGCAGCAGUGGGGAAUAUUGCACAAUGGGCGGAAGCCUGAUGCGGCAACGCCGCGUGCGGGAUGACGGCCUUCGGGUUGUAAACCGCUUUCGCCUGUGACGAAGCGUGAGUGACGGUAAUGGGUAAAGAAGCACCGGCUAACUACGUG
rnacentral:rRNA from 1 species